CCUACGGGUGGCAGCAGUGGGGAAUAUUGGACAAUGGGCGAAAGCCUGAUCCAGCCAUGCCGCGUGUGUGAAGAAGGCCUUCGGGUUGUAAAGCACUUUCAGUGGGGAAGAAAGCCUUGGGGCUAAUACCCUCGAGGAAGGACAUCACCCACAGAAGAAGCACCGGCUAACUCCGUGCCAGCAGCCGCGGUAAUACGGAGGGUGCGAGCGUUAAUCGGAAUUACUGGGCGUAAAGCGCGCGUAGGCGGUCUGAUAAGCCGGUUGUGAAAGCCCCGGGCUCAACCUGGGAACGGCAUCCGGAACUGUCAGGCUAGAGUGCAGGAGAGGAAGGUAGAAUUCCCGGUGUAGCGGUGAAAUGCGUAGAGAUCGGGAGGAAUACCAGUGGCGAAGGCGGCCUUCUGGACUGACACUGACGCUGAGGUGCGAAAGCGUGGGUAGCAAACAGGACUAGAUACCCCGGUAGUC
rnacentral:rRNA from 1 species